rnacentral:ribozyme from 1 species
GCGAGCAAGAGAGAGGAAGAAGAGAGAACAAGAAGACGCGGGCGCCUUCUUUGGGUCUUUUCCAGUUUUUUCUUUUCUGUUGCUGUUGGUUUCGCAAACGCGACCAGGAGGGGGACGAGUCUUUCGUGUGUUUGUUGGCGUCACGGGAGCGGAAAGCAACUCUCUUCAAAAAAAAAAGAAAAAAGAAAGAGCUUUUUUCGUGUCGUUCAAAGUCGAAUUUGUUUUUGUUUUUUAAAAAGAAGAAAGGAGA